rnacentral:rRNA from 1 species
AGGACGGCGCUCCUAUUUUGUUGGUUUCUAGGAGAGCCGUAAUGAUUAAUAGGGACAGUUGGGGGCAUCCGUAUUCAGUUGUCAGAGGUGAAAUUCUUGGAUUUACUGAAGACGAACUACUGCGAAAGCAUUUGCCAGAGAUGUUUUCAUUAAUCAGUGAACGAAAGUUAGGGGAUCGAAGACGAUCAGAUACCGUCGUAGUCUUAACCAUAAACUAUGCCGACUAGGGAUCGGGCGAUGUUAUUGUAUUGACUCGCUCGGCACCUUUCGAGAAAUCAAAGUGUUUGGGUUCUGGGGGGAGUAUGGUCGCAAGGCUGAAACUUAAAGAAAUUGACGGAAGGGCACCACCAGGAGUGGAGCCUGCGGCUUAAUUUGACUCAACACGGGGAAACUCACCAGGUCCAGAUACACAUAGGAUUGACAGAUUGAGAGCUCUUUCUUGAUUGUGUAGUUGGUGGUGCAUGGCCGUUCUUAGUUGGUGGAGUGAUUUGUCUGCUUAAUUGCGAUAGCGAACGAGACCUUCAUCGUUAACUAGCCCGGCUCGCCUUGGCGGGUCGCCGGCUUCUUAGCGAGACUUUUGGCUUAAGCCAAAGGAAGUUGGAGGCAAUAACAGGUCUGUGAUGCCCUUAGAUGUUCUGGGCUACACGCGCGCUACACUGACAGAGGCAACGAGUCUCGUUCCUUGGCCGGAAGGCCUGGGUAAUCAUGUAAUUCAA